rnacentral:lncRNA from 14 species
UACAGGAUCAACAGCCUACACAGCCAUGGAUGACCCAGGCUCAUUGAAUUUUGGCAUCGGACUGCAAGAGCAGAUGAAUCCUUCCCUAUGAAGCUGUGGUAUUAUCUAACAAGACUUUUAAGAUACGGUUCUCACUGCAUCCCAGAGCAGGGCUGGAACUGCCAUUAUGGACCAAACUGUGUAUCGCCAACAGGAUCACACUCACACAGAACUGUUGUUCAGCUACACAGCUGCACUGAAGAAACUAAUGUUCUCUUGUUUAGUCGUACUCCAACUGUCUUUACUCAUGGAGAGCAAUGGAAAGUCUCCAACAGUGAGAAUGAUGCUGUUAUAUCACGUGAGGGACAAGGACGACAAGAAAAGCCAGGCAGAGAGUGCAUCCUUCUUGAAGCUGUGAGGAGCCACAUCUCUCUACAUUACUGUACUAAGGUGCGUGGCAAGAGAAGAAAAUGGGCCAACAACAGAUCUCCCAUAAGCCCUCCAUUUCUUGCUGAAUUCCAUCUGCACAAUGACACAAGAGGUACUGACGUCCAGUGGCUAUUUCAUCCACUGGUCCUGCAAGUUCUGCAGACAGCUUUUCUAUUACUGUCUCUGCUAGAGAACGACCUCUCUUCUUCACAUCAUCUGAUCCAUUCCUGUUUUUCCAUUCAGGGGAUGGUCUAGAAGCUAUACAAAAUCACUGAGAUUCGGG